rnacentral:misc_RNA from 1 species
GUGCAUUAUAGCCACCAGCGAGAAGUUGUUCCUGAACUUCUGUGAUACCCAAAACGUUGAGGUUUUCUGCUGAUCCUUUCACGUGCAAAACCGUAAUUAAAAAGUUCUGUGCUUGCCAAGAACGAAUCACAACAGGGAUGUCAUCUUCGUCAAUAUUUGGAUCACCAGCAGAUUGGCCCAACAGCUCAAAUAACAGCCCUUCAGCCACCCUUACUGGGACCUCAUACAAGAGGUGUUUCAUUUUUUCACUUAUUAGCCGACCUUCAUCUCUUAAGGCAACACUAAUUGCG